rnacentral:lncRNA from 1 species
CCAAUGGAAAAAGCUAUGGAACAACAAAACUCAGAAACAUCAAAGCUACCGGAACAGGUAUAUCUAUUUAUGAUUAUGAAUAGCUAAUUUCAUAAUUCCCAACAAUCAUGAUAUGAUAAAAUAAAUUCAUAUUAGUUACUUUAUAGUAGAAUUAUUCGAAGAAUAAUAUGUUAAGAAGUUUAUUAACAAAGAGGAAACGGAGAAAUAUCCCUAAGGACUAUGCCAUCCUAAAGGUGAAACCAAUGAGGCAAGAAGCCGUGGCGGGGAGUAACCAGAGUAGAGGCGCUGUUUAAGGGAAAAAGUAUCCGGAUUACCAUGUUAAUAGUGACCGAAGAACAUAUUAUUUAAGAAUAAUCUAGUAUAUAGUAAUCUAAGAUGACCAUAUUUUGUUAUGUACAUGGUUGAAGGGAAUAUUUUGAAAAAAAAUAAUUUUAUGAAAAUGAAUAAUUAUUUAUCUGAUGUGAUGGUAGAUAAAUUUAAAAUACUUAUUUUGUAUGCACUUAAAGAUAUAAAAGUAGUAGAUAUAAGAAAAGUCAUAU